rnacentral:rRNA from 1 species
CACGGGGGGAGCAAGCGUUGUUCGGAAUCACUGGGCGUAAAGGGCUCGUAGGCUGCCAACUAAGUCAGACGUGAAAUCCCUCGGCUUAACCGGGGAACUGCAUCUGAUACUGGAUGGCUCGAGUCCGGGAGAGGGGGGUGGAAUUCCCAGUGUAGCGGUGAAAUGCGUAGAUAUUGGGAAGAACACCCGUGGCGAAGGCGGCUCUCUGGGACGGUACUGACGCUGAGACGCGAAAGCGUGGGGAGCGAACAGG